GAGGAAAGUCCGGGCUCUAUUUAGAUAAUUAUAGCUGUAUAAAAUACAGUGUAGGUAACUACGAGGAUAGUGCCACAGAAAAAAACCGCCAUUAAAUAAGAGGUAAGGGUGCAAUGGUACGGUAAGAGCGUACCAGAAAUAUUUUUAAGAUAUUUGCUAGGUAAACCCCAUAUUUGAGCAAAGUAAUUAGUUUAUAUAAUAUUUUCUAUUUUUAUAUUAAAUAGAUGGCUAAUUUAUCUAUGUACUGCAUGAAGUAAUAUAAUUUAUUACUCUAGAUUAAUAAUUACCCUUUAUUUUUAUUUACUAUUAUUUGUUUACAAUAGCUUAUAAUAAUUAAGAACAAAACCCGGCUUAU
rnacentral:RNase_P_RNA from 1 species